rnacentral:misc_RNA from 1 species
GGAAGUAAAGGUCGUAACAAGGUCUCCGUAGGUGAACCUGCGGAGGGAUCAUUACAGAGUUCAUGCCCUACCGGGUAGAUCUCCCACCCUAUGUUAUUAUUACUUUGUUGCUUUGGCGGGCCGUUAGGCUCCGGCCCGACUACCGGCCCCGGCUGGUAAGCGCCCGCCAGAGGACCCAAAACCCUGAAUAUUGGUGUCGUCUGAGUACUAUAUAAUAGUUAAAACUUUCAACAACGGAUCUCUUGGUUCUG